GCUCAGAAACUUAAAGGAUUGACGGGGGCCCGCACAAGCGGUGGAGCAUGUGGUUUAAUUCGAUGAUACGCGAGGAACCUUACCUGGGCUCAAAUGUAUGUUGACGUAUUCUGAAAGGGAUACUUCUUCGGACAAUAUACAAGGUGCUGCAUGGUUGUCGUCAGCUCGUGCCGUGAGGUGUCGGGUUAAGUCCCCAUAACGAGCGCAACCCCUAUCAUUAGUUGCCAUCAGGUCAAGCUGGGGACUCUAAUGAAACUGCCUACGCAAGUAGUGAGGAAGGCGGGGAUGACGUCAAAUCAGCACGGCCCUUACGUCCAGGGCUACACACGUGCUACAAUGGCCGAUACAGAGGGCAGCUACCUGGUGACAGGAUGCAAAUCUCCAAAGUCGGUCUCAGUUCGGAUCGGAGUCUGCAACCCGACUCCGUGAAGUUGGAUUCGCUAGUAAUCGCGCAUCAGCCAUGGCGCGGUGAAUACGUUCCCGGGCCUU
rnacentral:rRNA from 1 species